rnacentral:rRNA from 1 species
UGGGGAAUUUUGGACAAUGGGCGCAAGCCUGAUCCAGCCAUGCCGCGUGCGGGAAGAAGGCCUUCGGGUUGUAAACCGCUUUUGUCAGGGAAGAAAUCUUCUGAGUUAAUACCUCGGGAGGAUGACGGUACCUGAAGAAUAAGCACCGGCUAACUACGUGCCAGCAGCCGCGGUAAUACGUAGGGUGCAAGCGUUAAUCGGAAUUACUGGGCGUAAAGCGUGCGUCAGGCGGUUUUGUAAGACAGAGGUGAAAUCCCCGGGCUCAACCUGGGAACUGCCUUUGUGACUGCAAGGCUUGAGUGCGGCAGAGGGGGAUGGAAUUCCGCGUGUAGCAGUGAAAUGCGUAGAUAUGCGGAGGAACACCGAUGGCGAAGGCAAUCCCCUGGGCCUGCACUGACGCUCAUGCACGAAAGCGUGGGGAGCAAACAGGAUUAGAUACCCUGGUAGUCCACGCCCUAAAACGAUGUCAACUGGUUGUUGGGAAGGUUCCUUCUCAGUAACGUAGCUAACGCGUGAAGUUGACCGCCUGGGGAGUACGGCCGCAAGGUUGAAACUUAAAUGAAUUGACGGGGUCAUAGCUGUUUCC